GACGAACGCUGGCGGCGUGCCUAACACAUGCAAGUCGAACGGAGAUGUUGAUUUCGGUUGACGUCUUAGUGGCGAACGGGUGAGUAACGCGUGAACAAUCUGACCUUAAGAGGGGGAUAACAACGAGAAAUCGUUGCUAAUACCGCAUAAGACCACAAUGCCGCAUGGCGAAGGGGUCAAAGGAGCAAUCCGCUUAAGGAGGGGUUCGCGUCCCAUUAGGUAGUAGGUGAGGUAACGGCCCACCUAGCCGACGAUGGGUAGCCGAGCUGAGAGGCUGAUCGGCCACACUGGAACUGAGACACGGUCCAGACUCCUACGGGAGGCAGCAGUGGGGAAUAUUGCACAAUGGGGGAAACCCUGAUGCAGCAACGCCGCGUGAGUGAUGACGGCCUUCGGGUUGUAAAGCUCUGUCUUCAGGGACGAUAAUGACGGUACCUGAGGAGGAAGCCACGGCUAACUACGUGCCAGCAGCCGCGGUAACAC
rnacentral:rRNA from 1 species